UACAGAGGGGGCAAGCGUUGUUCGGAAUUACUGGGCGUAAAGGGCGCGUAGGCGGCCUGUUAAGUCGAACGUGAAAUCCCCGGGCUCAACCCGGGAACUGCGUCCGAUACUGGCAGGCUUGAAUCCGGGAGAGGGAUGCGGAAUUCCAGGUGUAGCGGUGAAAUGCGUAGAUAUCUGGGGGAACACCGGUGGCGAAGGCGGCAUCCUGGACCGGCAUUGACGCUGAGGCGCGAAAGCCAGGGGAGCAAACGGG
rnacentral:rRNA from 1 species